rnacentral:rRNA from 1 species
CCUUCGGUUGUAAAGCACUUUUGUCAGGGAAGAAAAGGAUUGCCCUAAUACGGUGGUCUGAUGACGGUACCUGAAGAAUAAGCACCGGCUAACUACGUGC